rnacentral:misc_RNA from 1 species
UUAUGAUAAUUUCAUGAUUUCGUUUGUGAAGAAUUUUAAGUCUUUUUCGUAUACAAUGUCCAAUUAGUAAUAUUUAUUCAAAUUAAACAUUUCAUUAUUUCUUAAAUGUUUACAGUUUUGGAAACGCAACGAUCUUUCUGAAUAAUUCAAUACAUUAUCUUAUACACGCAUCUUAAUUAAUUAUCAUGAAAGAAAUAUUUUGUUACAUAUUAAUUUUCUUUUCAAUGUAUUCAAUGUACGCAAUAAUUACAGUAAAAGCAAAGAAAUAGAACUGUAUAAGAUCAUAAUGGAGUUAUGAAGAAUCCAGAAAAAGAAAAGUAUCGAGGACAAUGACAGCAGCCACGAUUGCUGGCGCAACAAGGAUAGUUCGCAUCUAAAUUCAACGAUCGCAACGAAGAGGAACGUUGGUCAGAAGAAGAGAGGCGAACCUUACGCAAUCAAUUUCCAGGUGAAAGGUUCCAACGUAUGCAUGGGAAUUUACUUACAAAGGCCGUCAUUUUACUGUAACAUUUUCUCAAUUUCUUUAUUUAAGUUUUGUAAAAGGUGGAAAAUGAAAAAUGUGUAUUUAAAAGAG